UACGAACUGUGCAAACGUUAUUCGGAAUCACUGGGCUUACAGGGUGCGUAGGCGGCUUGUUAAGCAGGGUGUGAAAUCCCUCGGCUCAACCGAGGAAUUGCGCCCUGAACUGGCGAGCUGGAGUGGGACAGGGGUGUACGGAACUUCCGGUGGAGCGGUGAAAUGUGUUGAUAUCGGAAGGAACGCCGGAGGCGAAAGCGGUACACUGGGUCUUAACUGACGCUGAGGCACGAAAGCCAGGGGAGCGAACGGG
rnacentral:ncRNA from 2 species